GCCAGCGCGUGAUGGCGGGGACUCAUAGGAGACUGCCGGGGUCAACUCGGAGGAAGGUGGGGACGACGUCAAAUCAUCAUGCCCCUUAUGUCUUGGGCUUCACGCAUGCUACAAUGGCCGGUACAAAGGGUUGCGAUACUGUGAGGUGGAGCUAAUCCCAAAAAGCCGGUCUCAGUUCGGAUUGGGGUCUGCAACUCGACCCCAUGAAGUCGGAGUCGCUAGUAAUCGCAGAUCAGCAACGCUGCGGUGAAUACGUUCCCGGGCCUUGUACACACCGCCCGUCAAGUCACGAAAGUUGGUAACACCCGAAGCCGGUGGCCUAACCCUUGUGGGGGGANCCCGUCAAAAAGU
rnacentral:rRNA from 1 species